rnacentral:rRNA from 1 species
GGGACGAACGCUGGCGGCGUGCUUAACACAUGCAAGUGGAGCGACGAACCAGGGCUUGCCCUGGGGCAGAGCCGCGAACGGGUGAGUAACACGUGGGUUACCUGCCUCGAUGACCGGGACAACCCGAGGAAACUCGGGCUAAUACCGGAUGUGCCCGCAAGGGGAAAGGAAGCUUCGGCCUCCGCAUCGAGAUGGGCCCGCGGCCCAUUAGCUUGUUGGUGAGGUAACGGCUCACCAAGGCUUCGAUGGGUAGCUGGUCUGAGAGGACGAUCAGCCACACUGGGACUGAGACACGGCCCAGACUCCUACGGGAGGCAGCAGUGGGGAAUCUUGCGCAAUGCGCGAAAGCGUGACGCAGCAACGCCGCGUGGGGGAAGAAGGCUUUCGGGUUGUAAACCCCUUUCAGUUGGGACGAAGCUUCUCCGGUGAAUAGCCGGACGGAGUGACGGUACCUUCACAAGAAGCACCGGCUAACUCGUGCCAGCAGCCGC